rnacentral:rRNA from 1 species
UGGCUCAGGACGAACGCUGGCGGCGUGCCUAAUACAUGCAAGUCGAGCGGAUUUAUCCUUCGGGAUAAGUUAGCGGCGGACGGGUGAGUAACACGUAGGCAACCUGCCUAUAAGACUGGGAUAACUAUCGGAAACGAUAGCUAAGACCGGAUAACUGAUUUUCUCGCAUGAGAAAAUUAUGAAACACGGAGCAAUCUGUGGCUUAUAGAUGGGCCUGCGGCGCAUUAGCUAGUUGGUAAGGUAACGGCCUACCAAGGCGACGAUGCGUAGCCGACCUGAGAGGGUGAACGGCCACACUGGGACUGAGACACGGCCCAGACUCCUACGGGAGGCAGCAGUAGGGAAUCUUCCGCAAUGGACGCAAGUCUGACGGAGCAACGCCGCGUGAGUGAUGAAGGUUUUCGGAUCGUAAAGCUCUGUUGCCCUAGACGAACAGCAAGAGGAGUAACUGCCUUUUGUGUGACGGUAUAGGAGAAGAAAGCCCCGGCUAACUACGUGCCAGCAGCCGCGGUAAUACGUAGGGGGCAAGCGUUGUCCGGAAUUAUUGGGCGUAAAGCGCGCGCAGGUGGUCAAUUAAGUUGGGUGUUUAAGCCCGGGGCUCAACCCCGGUUCGCAUCCAAAACUGGUUGACUUGAGUGUAGGAGAGGAAAGUGGAAUUCCACGUGUAGCGGUGAAAUGCGUAGAGAUGUGGAGGAACACCAGUCGCGAAGGCGACUUUCUGGCCUAUAACUGACGCUGAGGCGCGAAAGCGUGGGGAGCAAACAGGAUUAGAUACCCUGGUAGUCCACGCCGUAAACGAUGCAUACUAAGCGUUGGGGAUUCCAUUCCCUCGGUGCCGAGUUAACACAGUAAGUUUGCCGCCUGGGGAGUACGCUCGCAAGAGUGAAACUCCAAGG